rnacentral:rRNA from 1 species
CAAUAGCGUAUAUUAAAGUUGUUGCAGUUAAAAAGCUCGUAGUUGGAUUUGUGGUUCGUCCCGCCGGCUGGGUCAUUGACUUUUGCUGUGCUGGUCGUCCAUCCUUGGGUGGAAUCUGUGUGGCAUUAGGUUGUCGCGCAGGGGAUGCCCAUCGUUUACUGUGAAAAAAUUAGAGUGUUCAAAGCAGGCUUAUGCCGUUGAAUAUAUUAGCAUGGAAUAAUGAUAUAGGACCUUGGUACUAUUUUGUUGGUUUGCGCACUGAGGUAAUGAUUAAUAGGGACAGUUGGGGGUAUUCGUAUUCCAUUGUAAGAGGUGAAAUUCUUGGAUUUUUGGAAGACGAACUACUGCGUAAGCAUUUACCAAGGAUGUUUUCAUUAA